AUUUGUUAAGAAGAGCCAUCAGUCACUGUGUUUCCAUCUUGCUUGGCUUUAAUAAUACACAAUUCCAAGAAGUCAUUUGAAUGAAAGAGAAGAGGUUCUUUGUGACAGGUGUUUGAUUCAACAGUCACAACAGGCAAAUAAUAUGUGUGUGUGGUGCAGAUUUAAUCCUGUGGCUUGGCUGUAAGUGAAAGUUUGGGCCCAUAACAGUUUACAUUGUCUGAAUAGCAGAGGGAUAGAGUGUCAUCUGUCAUAGACUUUGAUUAGAAAGAUUGGAAGGUUGGAUUCUCUCCCGAACUGCAGACAUUGGACACAGUUUCUUACUUCUUCAUAUUUCAGAUGUGUACUGGGAGAAGAUACAUUACAGAUUCUAUGUAUUAUGUUGCCAAACGAAGUUAAGCCUUUUCUGUGAGACAGUACAUCAAGAAACAACAGCACAAGACGUUUUUUUGCA